AUCCAGUUGACGAGUCCCAAAUAGGACGAAAUCCGCAUCAAACAAGAU
rnacentral:hammerhead_ribozyme from 1 species